UGCCUAAUACAUGCAAGUCGAACGAGAUCUUCGGAUCUAGUGGCGCACGGGUGCGUAACGCGUGGGAAUCUGCCCUUGGGUUCGGAAUAACAGUUGGAAACGACUGCUAAUACCGGAUGAUGACGUAAGUCCAAAGAUUUAUCGCCCAGGGAUGAGCCCGCGUAGGAUUAGCUAGUUGGUGGGGUAAAGGCCUACCAAGGCGACGAUCCUUAGCUGGUCUGAGAGGAUGAUCAGCCACACUGGGACUGAGACACGGCCCAGACUCC
rnacentral:rRNA from 2 species